rnacentral:rRNA from 1 species
AGCCAUGCAUGUUUCCGCAAUCAGGGACGAAUAGCUCAGUAAAACUGCGAUGAUUUAGUCUGGCUGUGUAGAUAACUACGUGAAAAUGUAGCUAAGGGAAGGCAGAAUAAGACGCAGGACUAUCAGUUAGUUGGUAGUGUAAUGGACUACCAAGACAGUGACGGUUGACGGGAAAUUAGGGUUUUGUACCGGAGAGGGAGCCUGAGAGAUUGCUCCCACGUCCAAGGACGGCAGCAGGCGCGAAAAUUGCCCACUCUUUGCAGGAGGCAGUUAUGAGACGUGAAGAUGAGUAUCUUGUAAAGAGGGAUAGGAGAAUUGGAGGGCAAGUUUGGUGCCAGCAGCCGCGGUAAUACCGACUCCAAGAGUGUGUAUGAGAGAUGCUGCAGUUAAAAAGUCCGUAGUCAUAGAAGGGCAAAGAGAGAUGCGAGGUCUCACAGUGCGAUGAUGGAGGAGCCGAUGGGGAACAUAGUAUACCAGGGCGAGAGAUGAAAUGCCAAGACCCCUGGUGGACUG